GCCUUGACUGUUGCUGAGGUGGCGCUCAAGGCGAUAAGUGGCGCUGUACCGUAGGACAGCUGUGGAAUUUUAUUGUUAAUUUAUUUUAGGGUAUUUUUUAAGUGGAAUCUAGUGUAGAAACCCUCAAAAUGGCAGACAAUGUACCACACAAGGGUGAUAUAAUGGCAAUAUUCAAAAGAUUACGUGCUAUUCCUACCAACAAGGUCUGCUUUGACUGCAGCUGCAAAAACCCAACCUGGGCCAGUGUCACAUAUGGUGUUUUCCUCUGCAUAGACUGUUCAGCUGUGCACAGGGGUCUGGGGGUGCACGUGACGUUCGUCCGCUCCACGCAGCUCGACACCAACUGGACCUGGCUGCAGCUGCGUAACAUGCAGCUCGGCGGCAACGCAAACGCCCGCAAGUUUUUCCACCAGCACAAUUGCUCGACGACGGACGCGCAGCAAAAGUACCAUUCGCGGGCGGCACAGCUGUAUCGCGACAAGCUGCAUGGCAUGGCGGUGCAGGCCAUGAAGCUGUACGGCACGCAGGUUCACAUCGAGUCAGAACACCACGACGGCGGCGGAGAGAAGGCGCAGCCCGAUGUGGACUUUUUCGACGAACACUCGUCGGCUCAGUUCGAGCAGCCGCCGGCCCAGGACAACAAGUACUCGGCCGCCGCACAGCUGUCAGCUCACGAGCCGGAGCCGGAGCCGCAGUCGGGCGCGCCGGCCUCAAACGGUGCCGUGCAGGUACCGGGUGCCGGACCGCGUGUGGAGCACGUGCUCGGUACCAGCCCCCAGGCGGCGCCGCAGCAGAUCAGGAAGUCGACCAUCGGACAGCGGCGACCGGCAGGCGGCAAGCUGGGGGCCCGCAAACUGGGAGGAGGACUGGGCGCUCAGAAGGUGAAGAAGGACUUCUCGGAGAUUGAGCGUCAGGCCGAGCAGGCUGACAUGAUGAAAGUACAGGCUGCUGAGGCCAAGAAGGAGGAAGCCCGUCAGACGGCCGAGGAGCAGGAGCGUCAGCUGGCCUCGGUGCGGCUCGCCUACCAGGACCUCAGCCUGGAGCAGCGGAAGCAGACCGACAGGGUGAAGAACAUGGACCCCAAGAAGGCCGAGCAGCUGGAGCGACUCGGCAUGGGCUUCGGCGGCGGCAACUCCGGUGCCGUCAGCCACUCUGCGUUCAGCGACAUGGAAACGAUCGAGCAGAGCGCGCCGGCCUCUGCCGAGCCGCUGGGACGCCGCGGCGCCGACGCGUUCUCACGCCGGGACGACAUGGACGAGUUCGAACUGGGCUUCUCCUCCAAGGCCAAAUCACAGAGCGACGAUGACGACUUCUUUGGCGGCUUUUCGUCUGGUACCGGUUUGGGCGGUUUGGGUAGCAGCAGCGGCGGCGGCUGGGGCAAAUCCAGCAGCUCGGCUUCCAGCUGGGAAAAGGCGCCCACUUCCUCGUGGGAAAAGGCGCCCACAUCCUCCUGGGAAAAGGCGCCCACGUCCUCCUGGGACAAGACGCCCUCGUCGGCGCCCCGGCGCCCGCCGCCCACCGAUACUAGCAAAACGUCAUGUGGAGAUGACGCCCAGAAGAAAUUCGGCAACGCCAAGGCGAUCUCGUCGGCGGCGUACUUCGGUGACGAGCGACCAUCUUUCGAGUCGCAGCAGAACAUGAACCGGUUCCAGGGUGCCCGAGGUAUCUCCUCUGCCGACUAUUUCGGCGAGCCGCAGACGAACCGCGGUGGCGGCGGAGGACCUAUGAUGCAGACUCCUGAUCUGGAGGAUGUGAAGGAGAGUGUACGUCAGGGCGUUACCAAGGUGGCCGGCAAGCUGGGCACCCUGGCCAACGGCGUCAUGUCCUCCCUGCAGGUGAGUCCAGCGUCACCUGCUGGUGCGUCCCUCCCGAUCCCACCGCCCGACGGGCCCCACUGCCCUUCCUUACUUAUCUGACUCUGACUACAUAGCAGCCAAUACCCAAUGACAGGCUGUCUCUUUAUUGUCUUGAUUCGGUACCGUAUGUUGGUACUGGAUUCGCUCAGGGACGAACGUGUGGUUAAUCCGUGGGUUAGAUGCGCAAUGGGGAACGGGUCAGUACGGAGUAGACGCAUGUCACGUAGAAAUGGUUUGCUGGUUGAACCAUUAGUGGAUAGCGUGGUGUUAGACGUUAUACUCUACCAGACUGGGUAAUGAGUGACUAACGAGCCUUAGAGAACCGGAAACCGGGAUUAAAGCCCCGGCGGCAGUCGGCGCCUGGAAUCCCUUACCCUACUAACAGAGUUGUGGUCCGCGCACAGCGCAAAUCGUAGCGCAGCCAGCCAGCAGAACGGAGUGUGACUGCCUGUAGUCGGUGAGCGUGUGCUGUGUGCUGUGUGUGACGGGAGUUGUGUGCUGUGUGACGUGGGUUAUAUGCUGUGUAACGUUUGAGUGAUGCGUGAUGUGACGUGUGUGUUGUGUGUAUGAUGUGCGCUGUGAUGUGUGCUGUGCGUUUAAUACCUUUUCCACGGUGGGAAGUAAAUGUAUGCUUGCGAAUGAAUGAUGUGGGUUUGCUGUGCGUUUGAUAUAAGAUUUGCGAUACAUUUUGCUGUAAUUGUAGAGCUCUUGUGUCUUUGAUAUCCGGUGCCUUUGCCGUGCAUUUCAUCCCUGGUGUGUUUUCUAUGCGUGCGAGUGCCGUGGUUUUCCGUGUGAUCUCUGGUUUGCCGUGCCCGGGAGCGCCGCUCUGUGGACGGGUCGAGCCCUGCUGACCCGACGCGCUGCUGUUUGCAGUAACGGCUCGUCUCCGUCGGCCCCAGCUCCGCUAAGGCUGUACGAACGGACCGCUCGUGGAACUGACAGACGCCCAGCGGCGACUGCCCGGCCGGCGGAGCAGCCGACUAGGGCGGACAGACAAAUAGAUAGGCGGACAGCCACCAGCGGCUGGCCGUCUGCCGCAGCGCCGCGCUGACAGAGGCCAACCUCACCUGCCGGAGGCCUGAUAAGUGCCCGCGGCGCGACACUGAUGGGCCAUACCGCGCUGGCCGGAUGUCCGGAUGACUGGUGUUCGCGUGUACGCAUGUGUGUCUGUGUGGGUGUGGGUGUGGAAAGAUUUAUCUAGCUUAGCGCGCAAGAGUGUGACGCGAAUGACGCAUUCCGUGCUGCGUGAAGCCUCUGGUUAGAGCGAUGUGACGCCUCUGGCUGGAGCGAUGCAGUGGUGUGACUGCUCGAAGCUGCAUUCAGUCGCACUGAGAUGCGUGAAGUCUUGCGAACCCAAACAGAACUUCUAGGAGUAUGCCGAAGUUGUAUGCCUGCUCGGAAGUGUACGGAGCAGAGUUGCGCGCUAUUGAGAAGCCUUGCGUUGCUAUCAGCUCAUGGCUCCCACGGUGGAGGGCUGACGGUGGGGGGAGUCUGGUCCGGAGCGUUUGACACCGGGCUCCAUCCCUCUCCGGACCUGAAGCUCCGCUCCCCGGGCGCCAAUGUAGCCUCAUAUAACAUGAUCGGCGGUGAGAGGCAUGUCGGUGUUGUCCGUUGGGUUCAAUCUGAUUUGUCUAUAUAUUCGGGCGUGUGAGUCGGCCCCCGUCGGCCGUCCUGCUGUGCUCUCCCGCCGCGGUUGAAUGCGAGGGAGUAACUGUCUCUUCUGUCUGCAUUCAGGGCGAUCCACGAGACGCCCAAGACAUAGUGUAUGCGGUGGGGGUUUGAACGUUGCAGUGAUUGUACGGUUUGGUUUAAAGAGUCGUAGCUAUAGAUAUCACGAGCUCGCGAGCCAUUUUAUGACGUUUCGGGAUUCGAAAAUAAAGGUGCUUCGGCUUAUUGUUUUAAAUUUUCCCAUGUUAUCUGAAUAAAGUGCCUCUUGUA